rnacentral:sRNA from 1 species
CUGAGAGCCCUGGAGACCAAGUCCUCUGUCUGUAGAAUAAACACAGCAGAGGCAGCUGCAGUGCAAACUUUCCCAAACCACCUCACCCAAGUACUUCAGUGGUAACCAUCUGGGACCCUCUUUAUGGAGAAGUUCCAUUCCCUUUCAGUUUUUGGUUCGC